GGCAAGAUGGCCGAGCGGUCUAAGGCGCUAGCUUAAGGUUCGCUAGUCCGAAAGGGCGUGGGUUCGAAUCCCACUCUUGUCA
rnacentral:tRNA from 1 species